CAUGUCAUUUAUUUCAAUUGCUUUGUAGUUGUUCUUCUUUUAUUCUUAUUAUUUGCCUACUUCACUUUAUACCACCAAUUACAAGCAACUCUUAAUUGAGGCCAUCUUGUAACUUGGAUUGAAGAGUGAAAAUUUACACUCACAAUGAUAUUCUGAUUAUUUUGCUAUAUUGGUUCAAUCCAUAAUUUUUUUUUGUCUCAAAGAUAUAUUAUUAAAUAGUAUCUUUAAUUAGAUUCUUUACUAUUAAUAUUAUUGGUUAUAUUUCUUAUAUAUACAUCUUUUUGGUGAAAGUAGUUUCAAAUUUGGUAAUUGACCUUCAAACAAAACUUACAUCAAAUAAAGAAAUUUGAGUAGUCAACUAAUAUCAUAAUUAGCUUCUUUGAAAAUAUAUUCUUAAUUUUGAUUUUUAUCUUCUAUUCUUAGCUAGUAUUAAGUGUGAUAUUAUAUUUCAAUUCAUUGAACAUAUUAUUAUGUGUAUCUUACUCAAUGGCCUUCUAAAGAGAUCUGAAAAUCUUAAUGGUAAUUAUAUUGAAUUACUAUGGUAAAUGCUUAAGAAUUAUUCAAGUAGGAAUCAAUAUAUCUUUGCUAUUUUUGAAAUCAAAAUCUAUUGUAUGUUAUUAAAAGAUAUAUAUAAAACUAUUAUUACAUUAUAAUAUAAACAAUAGUACCUAUAUAGUUACUUAUAGAUGGAGCAUGCAAACAUAAAAGAAGCCUUAUUCUUAUUCAUUAUUAAUUAUAAAGCUCCUAUUUAAAAGAUAAAUAUUGAACCUAUUGAAUCAAUCCUUGAAAGCAAGUUUUUUGGAUUUGAUACCAAUAAGAUUUGCUAUGACAAUGUAAUCAUGCAUAUAUAAUUUUUUUUAUGUUUCUAUGAUUUCUUUUAAUACAUGAAUUUAUUUGGUAUAAAUCUUAAUAAAAAAUCUAACAUAGUUUUGUAUAUAGUUGGUAAAAAAUACCUUGUCUUUACCAAAUUUAGUUAGAUUAAAUAGAUGUUGCUAUUCCUUGAUUGAAUUUGUAUCUAUUAAAAUUGUGCUAUAUUUUUUCAACACAAUCGUGCUACUAUAUUCAUUGAGGUCUACAUCAAUGCUUGCUUCUUAUAAAACUUUAAAUCCAUUGCAUAUCAAAAUGACAUAAGUAUGUAUUUGCAUGUAAUCUAGUAGCCAAAACCUAAUCUUCACUCUUAUCUUGAUUAGUUGUUCAUAUCCUAUUAGAAUAAAUAAACUAAAUUGUUUUUUUCAUACACAAUUGCAACACAAGUCAUAUAUUGGUGAAAAAAAAUGUAUUUAAACUACUUGAUAGUUAGUCUCUAAUUUCAUAUAAUACUACUCUAAACAACAGUCAACCAUUGCACCUAAGCAACUCUCUCUUUUUUACCUAAAAUUACAUAGCUCCAUUUCCACAUCUAAAAAUUUUAGUAAUCUUAUUUUUUUUAUUUUCUUAUGAUAGUCAGUUUCUUACAAGACACUACUAAUACUAUUGUUAGUCAAUGAUUAAACCAUUAUUUCAUAUUAUAUACAAAAUAUUCUUUGAAUAAAAAAAUAAUACAAAUGAAUAUUUUAAAUUGAAUUUUGAAUUAAAGAAUAUAAGUAGGAUUUUUUAUUAAUUUUUUUAUAAAUAAAUAAAAAAUUAAAUAAAAUCUAAUAAUAAAAUCAAACUAUGAUGUAAAGGCAUUGAAGAGCUUAUUAUUGUUAUAAAGAUUACAUUUAUUAAAGAUAUUAAAAGAUAUCAUAUUUGAGUUGGAUUUAUGAAUUGAUUGACUAACUGCCACAUAAAGUAGGUUUUUUUAGGAUUUUGGAUGUUGUCACAAUAAUAAAGCAAUAGAAGUAUGUUAACUCAAAUAAACCUCCACUAGUUGGAAGUUUUUUUUAAUUCAUAAAAAGUAACUUGACUGGGUGAAUUUAAAAGUAAGGCCAUUAUUCAAAUUUUAAUCAAAUCAUUAGUUGUUAUUGUUAAAACACCAAGUUCUUAAUCAAAUAUUCUAAUAAUUAUUCGCAUUCACAAUGAUAAUUCACUCAUUAUACUUCAUGAAAAAUAGUUCCUUCUUUUAAUUCUAAUUAUAUGAUUUAGUUUUAAAUAAUUUCUUUUCUUUUUCUUUUUUUCUUUUUUUAGGUUUUAUUUAUUUAUUUAUUUAUUUAUUAUUUAUUAUUUUAUUUAUUUUUUAAAUAUAUAAAUUAUUACUUCUUAAAUAAUUAGUGGAAAGAAUAAUUAAUUAAAUUCUUAUUAUUAAUCCAUAGUAAAGGAAAAAUCUUAAGUAAAAAUUAAAAUUUUAAGUUUUAACAAAUUGAAAAUAAAAAAUAAAAUUGUCGAUUAAGUAAAAAGUAAAAAUAAAGAAUAAAAAAAUAAAAGUUAAAAGAAAUAAGUUAAAGUUAAAGUACAAAGUUUACAUAUGGAAGUUACAAGUUAUUGAAAAAAUAAAAGAAAAAAUAAAAACUAAGAGGGAUGAAGAGAAGGCACCUUGAUAACGACCAAGAACUUACAGCAGCGACUCCCUUCUACUCCGAAAUUCGCCAACCAUUUGUAUCAGCUUUAAUUCUGAUGAUUUUUGCUUGGUUGAAAACCUAACUUGAAGACGCUCCUGCUUUAAGAAACUGUGUGGCAAUCCAAUACCUGAGGCAUGCGCAAUGCUCCUUCAAAGUUGAAUAAUCGAGACUUCCACGGCAGCUUACCACCCUUCACUCCAAAAUGCACCAAAAAUUUGGAUCUGCUUCAAACGUAAUAAAACUUGCACGAUUGGAAGGUUAAACUUGUACAAGCUCUUAUUCUUAAAAUUUCAGAAUUUUUUAAGUAAACAACACUGAGAAAUGUCUUUUCAAAAACUAGUGACCCAAACUGCCAAGUCAGCCGACCCCUUCGCACUCAAUAAUUCACAAAAAAGUCGUUUUAGCUCCAAAUUGAGCAAGCUUGAGCAGGUUGGAAAGCUGAUAGUAAGAGGUAUGUGCUCAAAAAAAUUCACCACAAAAAUUAAAAGAACCAAAGACUGAUUGGGAAAAAUCCGAGGCCCUUCAAACCCACUUAACAAGAGAAGUAUUUGGAAACUACUAAUUCUAAGGGAGUGCCUUCUAAACCACAAUAAGCACCGCCCACAACAUAAAAUCAAUGAUCACACAUUCACAAGGUGCACAAUGAGCAUUAGGAUCCAAAAUGAAAUUGGAAUUAGGGUUUUAGGCCAAGAUUUGGCAUGGCUUCACCCUUCAUCGAAAAAAA
rnacentral:lncRNA from 1 species